rnacentral:lncRNA from 1 species
UUGUGUUGUGUUGAAAUCAUUCUUACAGUUGUAUAAAUUUGACAGCACUAUGUUAAUUCAGUCACAUUUUGCUAAUUACUAACAUUUGAUUUUGAAAUGGUUUCAGAGAGCUGCAUAAACUUUGGAAAAGCUGGAUGAAUAGUUAAGAAUUGCUUCUCUGCAUGAUGAGACGAGGGAUCUGUAUAAAUUUUGGUAGAACCGGAAGAAUAUACUAAACCUAAUUCUAUUUAAUGAAGAGGGAGAUC